GGCGAAGCUGAUGGAUGCGACCCGCGUGGGGGAUGAAGGGCUUCGGCUCGUAAACCCCUGUCAUUCGAGAACAAACCCUGAAUCCUAACACGAUUCAGGCUGAUAUAUCGGAAGAGGAAGGGACGGCUAACUCUGUGCCAGCAGCCGCGGUAAUACAGAGGUCCCAAGCGUUGUUCGGAUUUACUGGGCGUAAAGGGUGCGUAGGCGGCGAGGAAAGUUUAAGGUGAAAUCUCCAGGCUCAACUUGGAAAUUGCCUCGAAUACUUCCUUGCUAGAGGAUUGUAGAGGAGACUGGAAUUCUCGGUGUAGCAGUGAAAUGCGUAGAUAUCGAGAGGAACACCAGUGGCGAAAGCGGGUCUCUGGGCAAUUCCUGACGCUGAGGCACGAAAGCCAGGGGAGCAAACGGGAUUAGAUACCCCGGUAGUCCUGGCCCUAAACGGUGCGCACUUGCUGUAAGUGGAUUUAACACCCACUUGUGGCGGAGUUAACACGUUACGUGCGCCGCCUGAGAAGUACGGUCGCACGAUUACCACUCCACGAAAUUGCCGGGGGCCUGCACCAGCGGUGGAGUCUGUGGCUUAAUUCGAUGCAACGCGAAGAACCUUA
rnacentral:rRNA from 1 species